rnacentral:rRNA from 1 species
AUUGAACGCUGGCGGCAGGCUUAACACAUGCAAGUCGAGCGGGGAGAUGUAGCUUGCUACAUAUCCUAGCGGCGGACGGGUGAGUAAUGCUUAGGAAUCUGCCUAUUAGUGGGGGACAACAUUCCGAAAGGAAUGCUAAUACCGCAUACGCCCUACGGGGGAAAGCAGGGGAUCUUCGGACCUUGCGCUAAUAGAUGAGCCUAAGUCGGAUUAGCUAGUUGGUGGGGUAAAGGCCUACCAAGGCGACGACCUGUAGCGGGUCUGAGAGGAUGAUCCGCCACACUGGGACUGAGACACGGCCCAGACUCCUACGGGAGGCAGCAGUGGGGAAUAUUGGACAAUGGGCGCAAGCCUGAUCCAGCCAUGCCGCGUGUGUGAAGAAGGCCUUUUGGUUGUAAAGCACUUUAAGCGAGGAGGAGGCUCCUUUAGUUAAUACCUAAAGAGAGUGGACGUUACUCGCAGAAUAAGCACCGGCUAACUCUGUG